UUCAUGGAAGAUGGCGGACCAACAAAAACUUUGAGACAAGUUUCUAUAGAAAAUAAUCGACUUUUUUAAUAUAUUUGCAAGUUAACUAAUUAACAGUAAGUUUAAUUACAUUAUGAAGUGUUGGUGAAAUGUAAUUUUAAGGGUAAUUCCAUUGUCAAGUGGGUCUUCAACAACCGAUGAAUUCUCGAAAUACCACCAUAGCUGUCAUGAACUCGUAUGAACCUCUAUUCUGCGAGUGAUCAUCUCCACGAAGAGAGCAAUAUUGGUGAGGAUGUGAAAUUGACACUAAAUAAUGACCUACCAUGGACAAAAGUAUGAUCCCAGCAAAUGGCCGCAGCAGCUCCACCUGAAUGGAACAAAGGUUGACGAUUAUGAUAAAUUUAUUUGGAAAAAGCAUCACAACACGAAGGCCAAAGGAAUGUAUGAGGAUUUAGGAUUACAUCAGCUUAUAUACCAAUACAUCAACUAAUACACAAGACCUAGUCAGAACAGGAGCUUAAGAUAUCAAAGCAAAUAUUGCCUCAAAAACUCCCCAGCCCUGCCCAAGCUUGUUUCUUGGUGUCUACCUUACUGCAACACAUCUAGCAUCCAGAAUGCAAAUGUAACCCAGUUUCUCGUUGCCGCAGAAGUGGCAGAGGAGAUGAAGGCACUGGUAACAGCCCGACAAUAUAUGGCUGUCUACUGACCUUGGUGGACAGCCUAACAACAAUGCUGUUACAUCAGUUUGUUGAAGUAACAGGGAAAGUAGUAUUCUUCAAUGGCAGUUUAAAAGUGAUUUCCAGGCCAUUUUUUAAUCUUCCUUCUUAAGCUGUUAAAGUUACUUUAUGGAUAUUUAUUUAUUGCGAACAAAUGUAAUAAGUAUAUCUUAGUAUAUUUACAAAUAGAAUUUCAUCGUGAGGUGUAUGCAAACUUGUAACAAAAGCCUGCCGAGUUUGUGUGGGGGUUUUACACAAACUUGCCAAGUGUUCCCAGCAUGCAACAGUCAAAACCUGUAAAGAGAAAUUAGAUUUUAAGUGAUGGAUGGUGUUGUAAUAAUUAUACGGUGAGGUGUUGUAAUAAAUAUAAUGCAUAUUUGAUUUAGUUAAGAUAAAAUAAACUAUAUAAAUUUAAAAUUUUUCAAAUGUAUAAAAUUUAAUUGCUUUAUAUAGAUAUCAUUUAAUGUUUAUUGCUUUAUAUAGAUAUCUUUUAAUGUUUAUUUUUAAUAUAUGCAUAAAAUUGCUUAAUAUAGUUAUUGGUUUAUAUAAAUAAAAAUUGUUAAUGCA